AAACGCUUGAGGCCAUCAGUGGUGAUAGUGCAAAAAAAGUAGAGACAGCUGAAAAAGCAUCUCAGGUGACAGAGUGACCUCUUUUUUAUCAUUUGGAGGAUUCGAGUUUCAGAAUCGAAGCAGUUCUUUGUUUUUGGCCUUGAUGUUAUCUAGUUAUGUUUGUUCUUCAAUAGAGUGCCUGUAUGCUGGAAUGAUUGUUCACA
rnacentral:misc_RNA from 1 species